GUGUGAGUGGUGGCCAAGGCCAGGCUUGUAUCCUGUCUGAUAAGUGGGAAACCAAGUCUCAGAGCAGUUGUGAGUGGUCCAGGCUGUGAGUGGCUGGCGAGUGGGGGUGGGGCUGGGGGAGUGCAGGUGGAAGGAGUUGGUGGGCAUAGCUGGCAUGGCUGGUUCAGGGGGCAGGAGGAACAUGGAGGGCUGAGUAUAGGUGCUGCUCUGGCCUUAGUCUUGGCUUGGCAGUGGGAACAGUAGAGGAACAACAAGAGCAGGAACCCUCUCCAGAGCCAGGGUUGGGGGUGCUUAGAAUGGGAGUAGGCUUUUCCUGUGCAGGUGCUGCUCUGGGCUAGGGCCAGCACCCUGGGGACUUCCUGAUGAUGACAACGCCUGCCCUGCCCACUGCUACUCUUACAGGCAAAGAAACUGAAGCAAAGAGUACAGGGUUGUUACCUGUUGUUUGACUGGGACGAAGACAUGGGUCAUGCACAGCCUCUCCAAAUGCAGGGACCUGCUCCUGGCAAGUGGGGACUUUGAUGAGGCUUCUGAUUUUCCAGAAAUCUGUAGCAGUUCCACUUUGAGACAUGAACCAACCAAGAAGUGGGAGACCUGGGUUCUACACCUGGCUUCUGCCUUUCACUAGUACACAGGUAUUCAAUGGAGAGGAAUUGCACUCAAGGAGAUGCACCUGAGAAACUUCACUCAAGUGGCCUUGUGUACACCCACACCCGAUUUAGAUGAUGCAAUCUUGGAUCUUGAGCCUGAUACUGUAAAGGGAAGAGGCUUUUGAUGAGAAAUCCUGGACUGAUCGCCUGAUGCAGGUGAACUUCCCCCUCAAGC